GAUGAAGAACGUAGCGAAAUGCGAUACUUGGUGUGAAUUGCAGAAUCCCGUUAACCAUCGAGUCUUUGAACGCAAGUUGCGCCCGAAGCCAUUAGGCCGAGGGCACGCCUGCCUGGGCGUCACACGUCGUUGCCCCCCCAUCUACUCCUUCGGGAUUGCGGGGGGCGGAUGAUGGCCUCCCGUGCGCCUCGUCGCGCGGUUGGCAUAAAUGCCAAGUCCUCGGCGACGCACGCCACGACAAUCGGUGGUUGCGAAACCUCGGUUGCCCGUCGUGUGCGGUCGUCGGGCAUCGAGGGCUCGAAAAAAUUGUCGGGCUCCGGCUCGGCUUUCAACGCGACCCCAGGUCAGGCGGGGUUACCCGCUGAAUUUAAGCAUAUCAAUAAGCGGAGGA
rnacentral:misc_RNA from 1 species